CAGGUUCGAAAAGAGUGAACAAAUCAAAAGUGAGACACUGAGACUAAGAAGCAUAGAGGAGGGGGUCUGGAGGGCAAUUUUACUUAUUAAAAAUCGGGCAAAUGAUGAAAGGAAGUACGACGCGUAUCACCGAAAUAGCAAGAGAUAUGUAACGUUGGGAAAUGUCAUAAUUGACGAAUCGGUUGUUUUCGCGGACGGUGACGCCCGUAAAUUUUUGGAAGGCAUUUUGUAUAGGUCGGGAAUUUCCAUGAAUGUUGGGCAAAUUUUUGUCCACCCCCCUCCCAAUUUUUUUCCUGUACUAGGAAGCACAGUCUAAUACAAUCCCACCAGAAUAAUGUUGGUUUAGGUAAAGUGGAUUUGCAAUACAUAUCAUCUAAUUACCAACAUUGUAGAGGGACGGGGGGUGGCAAAGUUUGAAAAUUCAAAAAGUCUACGAAUUUUUUUCUAGGAUUGUCAUAGAAUCGAAGACUUACUCGAUAGCCCGCUAAGGACUUUUGGUCACUUAGGGGACACUUAGGUACGAUAUAAAUUCAACAAAUUGACGUAAUUUGUCGAAUGCAUAACGCAACUUCAAUAAUUUAGGUCAGCGGUGAUGUUACCUAACCCGCACCUUCAACCCCCACCCUAACUUUAAAUCCAGACGUCAGGGUGAAGGUUUAAUGCGGGUGAAGCAAUACAAUGCCGACCUACUAAGUCGCGUUCUGCAUUCUACAAAUUACCCCCGCCACAAUUUGAUAUAUGCCUCGCAUUCACUCUGAUAUAUAUUACAGCUAAAGAACCAAACACUGCGACGCUCGUUCUUCUCUGAUUAAAUAACAUACGCUUCAAUCCUUCAUAUUCUUUUAUUGUUGCUUCCACCAGGGGCCGGUUGUUCAAACGCUAAUCCAGUGUUAAAAUUUAACCCACUGUUUUGAUUUAUAUGCUUCUGCAUGUUAGUUCAUUUCACAACUUCAGAAAAUAAAACUUAAUUGAUCUAAACAAGAUUCGUGUACAAAUAUUUCCGAACUGUUUAUAAAAAAGCAGUUUUGAGAAGAGUGCUUUGAAUUUCACGCUAAAUUAACCCUAGCUGGGUUAAGUUAUCCGGCUUUCGAACAACCGGCCCCCGCAGGUUAUGUUUUCAUCCGCGUUUGUAGGUGUUUGUGUAUGUGUGUUUGUGUCUGUGUCUGUGUGAUUGUCUCUGUGCGUUUAUCUCUGUGUGUUUGUCAACAGAAUGCGUAAUAAUUUGGUUAUGGAUACAGUACAUAUCUCCAAGUACCUUCCAGUUUUGAAAUCUAUUAACCUAUAACACUACAAAUAUAUAUU